AGAAGAUGGAAAAUCCAGAUCUGCGUUUAUCAAUGGGAAUGAAACCUGACCAGAAAGGUGUCCGUAUAAGAAGAAUUGACCCUACUACCCCAGAGUCUAUGAUGUUGAUGCCAUCAGAUGUAAUCCUAAGUUUCGAUGGGGUUGAUAUUGCCAAUGAUGGAACAGUUCCAUUCCGGCAUGGAGAGCGUAUAGGUUUUAGUUAUCUCGUCUCCCAAAAAUAUUCGGGCGACUAUGCUGCUGUUAAAGUUCUUCGUCGUAAUUCUGAGAUAUUAAAUUUCAUUAUCAAACUUGCAACUCAGAUGAGGCUUAUUCCAGCUCACAACAAGGGGAGACCUCCGUCGUAUUAUAUUAUAGCUGGAUUUGUUUUUACAACUGUAUCUGUUCCAUAUCUUCGUUCAGAGUAUGGAAAAGAUUACGAGUAUGAAGCUUCUGUAAAGCUGUUGGACAAACUCUUGCAUGAGUUUCGACAAUCACCUGAUGAACAGAUUGUCGUGGUUUCCCAGGUUCU
rnacentral:misc_RNA from 1 species